rnacentral:rRNA from 1 species
UACGGGGGGGGCAAGCGUUGUUCGGAAUUACUGGGCGUAAAGGGCUCGUAGGUGGCCAACUAAGUCAGACGUGAAAUCCCUCGGCUUAACCGGGGAACUGCGUCUGAUACUGGAUGGCUUGAGUUCGGGAGAGGGAUGCGGAAUUCCAGGUGUAGCGGUGAAAUGCGUAGAUAUCUGGAGGAACACCGGUGGCGAAGGCGGCAUCCUGGACCGGACACUGACACUGAGGAGCGAAAGCCAGGGGAGCAAACGGG